UGCUUUUAAUUGUAUUUCGAAUUUUGUUUUUAUUUAAUACAUAUAGCCGGCAAUAAUUACGAUAUAUUCAUUUCAUAAGGAAUACAUAAUAAUUGUAGAAUUUUUACUUUGCAAUUUGCAUGUGUGUGUGAGUGUGUAUAUGUAUGUGUGUGCAUAUAAAACAAGGUAAACUUAAAAAAAAAACGCUGUCAUUGAGAGCCAAUUAGUGCAGGGUGUAUAUUUAUUAUUAAAAUUUUAAAAAUUAAA